UAUCCGUGGGUUCACUUCAUCACGCACAAAUCUUCCGCCUUUUAUUAAAGAUUUUCGUGCAGCGGACCAAUUAGAUCGGAAUUUAUUUCUGCCUUGUGCCCUUGUCUUUCGACGAGGC